GACAGAGGGUGCAAACGUUGCUCGGAAUCACUGGGCGUAAAGGGCGUGUAGGCGGGAAGGAAAGUCAGAUGUGAAAUCCCCAGGCUCAACCUGGGAACUGCAUUUGAAACUCCCUUUCUUGAGUACCGGAGAGGAAAGUGGAAUUCCUGGUGUAGCGGUGAAAUGCGUAGAUAUCUGGAGGAACACCGGUGGCGAAGGCGGCAUCCUGGACCGAGAUUGACACUGAUGAGCGAAAGCUAGGGGAGCAAACGGG
rnacentral:rRNA from 1 species